GACAAACGCUGGCGGCGUGCCUAACACAUGCAAGUCGAGCGAGAAAGGAGCUUCGGCUCCUGGAAAGCGGCGAACGGGUGAGUAACACGUGGGCAACCUGCCUCAAGGACUGGGAUAACGUCGGGAAACCGACGCUAAUACCGGACGAUGUCGUCUGGCGCAAGCCGGCCGACCAAAAGGUAGCUUCGGCUUCUGCCUUGAGAUGGGCCCGCGUCCUAUCAGCUUGUUGGUGAGGUAACGGCUCACCAAGGCUACGACGGGUAGCUGGUCUGAGAGGAUGAUCAGCCACACUGGGACUGAGAUACGGCCCAGACUCCUACGGGAGGCAGCAGUGGGGAAUUUUGCGCAAUGGGCGAAAGCCUGACGCAGCAACGCCGCGUGAGCGAAGAAGGCCUUCGGGUUGUAAAGCUCUGUCAGGGGGAAAGAAGGCACCUGGGUUAAUAGCCCAAGGGCUGACGGUACCUCCAAAGGAAGCCACGGCUAACUACGUGCCAGCCGCCGCAGUAACAC
rnacentral:rRNA from 1 species